GAGAGGUAACGGCUCACCAAGGCAUCGACGGGUAGCUGGUCUGAGAGGAUGAUCAGCCACACUGGGACUGAGACACGGCCCAGACUCCUACGGGAGGCAGCAGUGGGGAAUAUUGCACAAUGGGCGCAAGCCUGAUGCAGCGAUGCCGCGUGCGGGAUGAAGGCCCUAGGGUUGUAAACCGCUUUCAGCAGGGAAGAAAAUGACGGUACCUGCAGAAGAAGGUGCGGCCAACUACGUGCCAGCAGCCGCGGUGACACGUAGGCACCAAGCGUUGUCCGGAUUUAUUGGGCGUAAAGAGCUCGUAGGCGGUUCAGUUAGUCGGGUGUGAAAACUCUGGGCUCAACCCAGAGACGCCACCCGAUACUGCUGUGACUAGAGUACGGUAGGGGAGUGGGGAAUUCCUGGUGUAGCGGUGAAAUGCGCAGAUAUCAGGAGGAACACCGGUGGCGAAGGCGGGUCUCUGGGCUGUUACUGACGCUGAGGAGCGAAAGCAUGGGGAGCGAACAGGAUUAGAUACCCUGGUAGUCCAUGCCGUAAACGUUGGGCACUAGGUGUGGGGGACAUUCCACGUUCUCCGCGCCGUAGCUAACGCAUUAAGUG
rnacentral:rRNA from 1 species